ACACAUGCAAGUCGAACGGCAGCACGGGUGCUUGCACCUGGUGGCGAGUGGCGAACGGGUGAGUAAUACAUCGGAACAUGUCCUGUAGUGGGGGAUAGCCCGGCGAAAGCCGGAUUAAUACCGCAUACGAUCUACGGAUGAAAGCGGGGGACCUUCGGGCCUCGCGCUAUAGGGUUGGCCGAUGGCUGAUUAGCUAGUUGGUGGGGUAAAGGCCUACCAAGGCGACGAUCAGUAGCUGGUCUGAGAGGACGACCAGCCACACUGGGACCGAGACACGGCCCAGACUCCUACGGGAGGCAGCAGUGGGGAAUUUUGGACAAUGGGCGAAAGCCUGAUCCAGCAAUGCCGCGUGUGUGAAGAAGGCCUUCGGGUUGUAAAGCACUUUUGUCCGGAAAGAAAUCCUUGGUUCUAAUAUAGCCGGGGGAUGACGGUACCGGAAGAAUAAGCACCGGCUAACUACGUGCCAGCAGCCGCGGUAAUACGUAGGGUGCGAGCGUUAAUCGGAAUUACUGGGCGUAAAGCGUGCGCAGGCGGUUUGCUAAGACCGAUGUGAAAUCCCCGGGCUCAACCUGGGAACUGCAUUGGUGACUGGCAGGCUAGAGUAUGGCAGAGGGGGGUAGAAUUCCACGUGUAGCAGUGAAAUGCGUAGAGAUGUGGAGGAAUACCGAUGGCGAAGGCAGCCCCCUGGGCCAAUACUGACGCUCAUGCACGA
rnacentral:rRNA from 1 species